UAGCAUAAUCAUUUGUCUUUUAAAUAAAGACWAGAACAAAAGAUCCAACAUUUUUACCUAUUUAUUCAUUAUAUUUUUCAAAAAUAUUUUAAGUGUAAAAAAACACUUAUAUUACAGAAAGACGACAAGACCCUAUUGAACUUAACUUAAGUUUAACUGGGGUAGUAAACUAACUAUAAUUUUAGUUCUACGAAACAAUUAUCUAUCCAAUCAAUUUGAAUAAUUCAGUUACCAUAGGGAUAACAGCGCAAUUAUAUUUUCAAGUUCUCAUAUAAAAUAUAGAUUACGACCUCGAUGUUGAAUUAAUAACCUAGUUUUAAAGCAAAAUUUAAAAAAGGAAGUCUGUUCGACUUUUAAACAAUUACAUGAUUUGAGUUCAGACCGGUACAAGCCAGGUCGGAUUCAAUCUUCUACAAAAUUUAUACAGUACGAAAGGACCUAUUAAUAUAAUUUAAUUAAUUUAUUGGCAGAUAAAUGCAUUAGAAUUAGAAUCUAAAUAAACUAAU
rnacentral:rRNA from 1 species